rnacentral:autocatalytically_spliced_intron from 1 species
GUGUGUCACGAACACAGGUCAGAUGACCUGUGCUGCUGUGCCGAAGAUGGAAGUAGGCCUUCCGAAGUCGGCUUGCAGGAGCGGACUUCAAACCACCCGGUGCUGCUGCAUCCAAAAGGUGUGGUGGUGAGCGACCGAGGAAAAGUCAUCCCUGAGGAUGGCAGGUGAGUAUGGAGAAGAUGAGCGAAAGCAAACCGUCCGAUGACGCAUCGUUAUGCCCAAGGUGCUGCCGAAACUGAGGUGGAGUACUGGCUUCAGGACAAGUCGGGGCGUUACCUGCUUACGGACCCGAUGGCAGCCGGUGUAUAGGCGGCAUGAUCUUCAUACAGGCUUUGGUACGGAACGUGAGAACCUUGUUCCAGAUGCGAAGGAAAAUGACAAAUGGCCAACACCAUGAGGAAGAAUACCGAUGCUGGAACGAGGGGCGGAGCUUCCCGUAGUAGCGAUGAAGCCUCUGUAAUGGAGGUGGAGCGAAGGGGCGGCGUUAUCCGGCCGACGAGCGUUGCCAACCUCCGGGGAUGAGUGGCGUGAGCUCGGCGAAACCUUAUGACAUAGCGAAACGCACGGUAUGGGACGCCUACCAGCAGGUCAGGGCCAACCGCGGUGCUGCCGGCAUCGACGAUGAAACCAUCGCCGAUUUCGAGCGGGAUCUGUCUAAGAAUCUCUACAAGCUGUGGAAUCGGAUGUCGUCGGGGUCGUACUUCCCGCCUCCGGUCAAGCAAGUAGAAAUUCCCAAGGCAUCGGGAGGCACGCGCAAGCUGGGAGUGCCCACGGUUGGUGAUCGUGUCGCGCAAACCGUGGUCAAGCUUCUCAUCGAGCCGGAGCUGGACUCGAUCUUCCACUCGGACUCCUAUGGGUACCGGCCGGGACGAUCAGCGAAGCAGGCGGUGGCGAUCACGCGUGAGCGCUGCUGGCGAUACGACUGGGUGGUGGAGUUUGAUAUCAAGGCAGCCUUCGAUCAGAUCAAUCAUGGGUUGCUGAUGAAGGCGGUGCGCCUGCACAUCAAGGAGGACUGGAUACUUCUGUACAUCGAGCGGUGGCUGGUUGCGCCGUUCGAAACGGAUGACGGCAUGCGCGUCCCACGCGAACGCGGCACCCCGCAAGGUGGAGUGCUCAGUCCCCUCCUGAUGAAUCUGUUCAUGCACUAUGCCUUCGACACCUGGAUGCAACGUACCAGCCCCAACUGCCCGUUUGCCCGCUACGCCGAUGAUGCGGUGGUGCACUGCCGCAGUCGAAAGCAAGCGGAGUACGUGAUGCGCUCCAUUGCUUCACGGCUGGCUGCCUGUGGCUUGACGAUGCACCCGGAGAAAUCGAAAGUCGUGUACUGCAAGGACAGUAACCGUCGCGCAGGUUAUCCGCAUGUGAGCUUUACCUUCCUCGGCUUCACCUUUAGGCCGAGGAAGGCGCUCAGCAAACAAGACCAGCUCUUCACGAGCUUCCUUCCGGGAGCGAGUGCGGAUGCCUUAAAGCGGAUGCGGCAAGCGGUACGCAGGUGGCGACUCAAUCGCCAAACCCACGUGACGCUGGUCGACGUGGCUCGGCUCUACAAUCCAGUGAUACAGGGGUGGUGGCAAUACUAUGGCUCGUUCUAUCGGACAGCCAUGCUUGGCAUCUUCCAGCACAUUGACCGCGCGCUUGAACGCUGGGCCCGACGAAAAUACAAGGCCCUUCAUAGGCGCAAGCGGCGCAUUAGCCAAUGGCUGGACAAGAUGCGGACUGUGGUACCCCGGCUGUUUCAUCACUGGCGAGUGACCGGGCAGCAAGGUUGGAUAACGGGAGCCGUAUGACGCGAGAGUGUCACGUACGGUUCUGCGAGCGGCUGCGGGGGCAGUUCCCGCGGCCGACUCACC